GACGCUGGCGGCGUGCCUAAUACAUGCAAGUAGAACGCUGAAGAGAGGAGCUUGCUCUUCUUGGAUGAGUUGCGAACGGGUGAGUAACGCGUAGGUAACCUGCCUUGUAGCGGGGGAUAACUAUUGGAAACGAUAGCUAAUACCGCAUAACAAUGGAUGACACAUGUCAUUUAUUUGAAAGGGGCAAUUGCUCCACUACAAGAUGGACCUGCGUUGUAUUAGCUAGUAGGUGAGGUAAUGGCUCACCUAGGCGACGAUACAUAGCCGACCUGAGAGGGUGAUCGGCCACACUGGGACUGAGACACGGCCCAGACUCCUACGGGAGGCAGCAGUAGGGAAUCUUCGGCAAUGGGGGCAACCCUGACCGAGCAACGCCGCGUGAGUGAAGAAGGUUUUCGGAUCGUAAAGCUCUGUUGUAAGUCAAGAACGGGUGUGAGAGUGGAAAGUUCACACUGUGACGGUAGCUUACCAGAAAGGGACGGCUAACUACGUGCCAGCAGCCGCGGUAAUACGUAGGUCCCGAGCGUUGUCCGGAUUUAUUGGGCGUAAAGCGAGCGCAGGCGGUUUGAUAAGUCUGAAGUUAAAGGCUGUGGCUCAACCAUAGUUCGCUUUGGAAACUGUCAAACUUGAGUGCAGAAGGGGAGAGUGGAAUUCCAUGUGUAGCGGUGAAAUGCGUAGAUAUAUGGAGGAACACCGGUGGCGAAAGCGGCUCUCUGGUCUGUAACUGACGCUGAGGCUCGAAAGCGUGGGGAGCGAACAGGAUUAGAUACCCUGGUAGUCCACGCCGUAAACGAUGAGUGCUAGGUGUUGGAUCCUUUCCGGGAUUCAGUGCCGCAGCUAACGCAUUAAGCACUCCGCCUGGGGAGUACGACCGCAAGGUUGAAACUCAAAGGAAUUGACGGGGGCCCGCACAAGCGGUGGAGCAUGUGGUUUAAUUCGAAGCAACGCGAAGAACCUUACCAGGUCUUGACAUCCCGAUGCUAUUUCUAGAGAUAGAAAGUUACUUCGGUACAUCGGUGACAGGUGGUGCAUGGUUGUCGUCAGCUCGUGUCGUGAGAUGUUGGGUUAAGUCCCGCAACGAGCGCAACCCCUAUUGUUAGUUGCCAUCAUUCAGUUGGGCACUCUAGCGAGACUGCCGGUAAUAAACCGGAGGAAGGUGGGGAUGACGUCAAAUCAUCAUGCCCCUUAUGACCUGGGCUACACACGUGCUACAAUGGUUGGUACAACGAGUUGCGAGUCGGUGACGGCGAGCUAAUCUCUUAAAGCCAAUCUCAGUUCGGAUUGUAGGCUGCAACUCGCCUACAUGAAGUCGGAAUCGCUAGUAAUCGCGGAUCAGCACGCCGCGGUGAAUACGUUCCCGGGCCUUGUACACACCGCCCGUCACACCACGAGAGUUUGUAACACCCGAAGUCGGUGAGGUAACCUUUUGGAGCCAGCCGCCUAAGGUGGGACAGAUGAUUGGGGUGAAG
rnacentral:rRNA from 1 species